GAAGACGAAAGCUUGGAGUGUUUAUAUGUAAGUAGUACAGGAUGUACUCAACCUUCAGCUCCACUUGAUGUACACAUCGCACUCACACUGUUGUCUACACAGCCGCCUGAUGUGUGUCGCCAUGGAGACAGCUUUCAAAUGUUUCUUUUUUCUAAUAAUAUUUAGUUUACACAAGCUGGCGUUCUCUUCUUGUAAUUCAACAGAGCGUCGCUACUUCAUCAGCUCCGUGAGGACCUGGGAGAUGAAGAUUUCACAGCUGCUCACUCGGUCCAUCACUGCUAUAUAUCUCGACAUUAUGAAUAAAACUCUACACAGACAGACAGUGCUGCUGAUACCCAUUGAUGUGAUAUACCCAUCCAAGGUCACAAAUCUGACCGUAGACGGUCAAGAAGUAAACAGUACUCAUCUCAUUAACGAGGGUGAAGUCAACGUCUGCUGCUCUUUUAAGAGAGGAAAUCCUCCUGCUGUCUUUAAUCUCUUAAACAUGAAUGGAAUGGAAAUCGCUAAUAAAGAGGACAAAAGUGCAAUGCAAACUAAGAGUGGUGAAGAGCAUCUGAAGGUUUCCCUGUCAGUCAGGUGUCAAGACGACUGGCCGACAGUUCGUUGUGAAGGAAGCGGGUCGGAAAUAAAUAGAUCGGUGUCCUUUCUUGUGAGAUGUGCUCCUCAGUUUGUUGACGGUCCUGUCACACUUGUAUCUUUACAAUUGGAGAAAGUAACAUUUCGUGUAAAAGCACACACAACAAUAUUCAAUAAAUGUUCCUUGACACCGACCCCAUCACAGGAUACAUUCAUACCGAAGGUGAAAUGCAACCUGAGUGGAGAGCCUCCUAAUCUGGUGUUGAAGCUUCAUCCGGAAGAAAACAUUUACCAAGGAAUCUGGAAAAUAACUCUUGGCAAUGAAAUAGGUUAUGACAUUACAACAGUGAACAUCACUGAAUAUUCUAUGUCUGAGACAACAGCCCCAAGUGUAGAGUCAGUGUCUGAGACAACAACCCAGUGUGUAGAGUCAGUCGGUGUACUAGCAAUCGGCCUCUCGUGUGGUGGGAUCUUGCUUGUCGCUGUUAUCUUCAAUGUCGUCGUUUGUAUUAAAAUAAGGACCAGAGAACAUACAAACGGUAAGUUUAUGUUAUAUAAGAUUGCGGUCUACUAUUUAUACUUAUCAUGGAAGUUGUCAUAUAAACUUAUAAAGUUCAUAUAAACUUUUUAAUACGUUUAAACAUUAAUUACCAUCCAUCAUUUCAUUAUUUUGUUUUGGUUCUUUACCCCGGGUCUUUGCGUCGUUGUAUUAUUAGAAAAAAAAGUAUAUCGAGAAAGCGUUUUGAAGAAAGACAGAAAAUGCUAAUGGCUGAUUACAUUUUUAGUCGGUUCAGCACCGUCAACUGCCUAAAUUUUCGAAUAUCAAGACAAAACUGAGCUGGUCUAACAUUUAGAUGUUGUUUAUGUGUCUAAGAAUAUCUUUUAUCCUACCUCAUAGAUAAUAUUUCAUGCGUGAAUCCCAAGUUUCUUCUUUUGGCUUCUUGUGAAUUGCAUCCUGUGAUAUUUUGCUAUACAGUUUCGUUGUGAUCUACCCCAUCGUGUUCGAAAUGCCGUGUCUGGUUUUGUUAGCAUUUAUUUUACUCUUGGUCUGUAUAGUUUGCACUUCUACCCUUUGGAGCAGCUUGCUUGUGUUGAAAGUAUAGUGUACAGCCCUGACAAUUAUUUGUACUUGGAUGCGAAAUAAAACUCUGCGAGCUUGGGUUUGUGUUGUGUGUUUACAGUCACUUUUUAUGUACGUUAGGAAACAGAUUUCUAUCUUUGCACUUUUGAAGAAAAAACUUGACUUGACCUCGCGUUUACACUAUUAACGUCUUCAUUACGUGAUUGCGUCGCGAAUCGGCGCGUGUUGUCACAACCACGUGACCGAGUGUUUUCUCGAUGCUGGAAAUCUGGAAACAACAAUCAGCAUGCAACAAGCGGCUUUGCUAUCGUAAGAUUUGAACAUACUGUACAGUGACACUCCUGUUGCUGAAGCCACAAACUGCAGCCAUAGCCGCAGUGUCCAUGAAAAAGGAUUUACACAAGAAUAUCUAAUCCUCAGCAAGUGAUCCAGCUGUGGAAGCUGUUCUGACCAAAAUAAACGUGGACAGGACUGUAGUGUUUGGUUAUUUGGAAUGGAAUUAUGUGUGCAGUUUCUAACCCUUCAUCUAUGGGCUGAGUUUGAUGAACGUUCAGUGAUAAUCUUCCAUGAACAUGGUCAAGCAAAGGACUUAAACAAACCUGCAAUCAGCAUACACUGUCGAAAGAUGCCACCUAUCGUGUCGUGAUAAUCAUAUGUGAGAAGAGUUUUGUAAGUGAUAAUAAUUCAUUUCUCUGUAAAAGAGAAUAAGUAUUAAACAAGGUGGAGACAAUCAAAUAUUUUCAGAGUUAAUAUUAAACAGAAACAGAUUAGAAGUAACAUAUACUUUUAUAGAAUAAUGUUAUUUAAUGUAGGCUAUUUGUGGGUGAAUGUGUUGCACUGAGAAGACACUAGACACAAAAAUAAGUUCCUGAAAGAAAACUGCACGUGCAAGCACACACACACACACGUGUAUAUACACACAUGCCCACACAUUUAUCGCCACUCUACAAGCUAGGUCAUCAUGCUUAGUCACAUGUCUUAGGAACAUCAGUUCUGCUCCCAACUAUAGAUCCCAAUUAUUGCUGUUCAAUGUAAGCCUCAAAUUAUCAUUCCUUUAUCCUGUCAGAAGGUGAUAUUCUUGUUACUGUGUCUAAUAUAUCAGCCAGGGCUACGCAAAGUAUCAUACUGUAUUUUCAUCAUCUAAUAAUUUUUUCCCCACUUAUGUCUGAAAUUGCCUUGUCAAACUCACCUUUAAAUGUCAUUUGACAACCAUUGGGUGUCUCUGUAUCUUUACUAUUUUUAUGUAAUAUCUAAAGGUGUAGGUUAUACAUGCAAUUACUAUUUUUCAUUGAAUAAAUUUAGCUGACCUCUUGGCACUUUGUACACCAUGAUUCCUCUGCUGUGACGAAUAUAUAGCCCUCAAGAUUAGAGAUGUUUUGUUGAGGUGCUAUGAUUCCACAUACCCAAGUCUGCUUUAUUUUAAGUAUAAAUUGUUUUCUUCAUGAAUUGGAUCUUUUUAUUAGAACAAAAUUUUGAUGGUUAGAGGUUCUGAACUAUGAAACCUGCUUAAGAUCUUGUUGAAUAAUUUCUGUCAUAAUUAUACAAAUAAAAUUGUAAAUUGUUAAAA